rnacentral:rRNA from 1 species
UCUUGGUCAUUUAGAGGAAGUAAAAGUCGUAACAAGGUUUCCGUAGGUGAACCUGCGGAAGGAUCAUUAUUGAAAUUAUAGGCAAAGGUUGUAGCUGGCCUCUCGGGGCAUGUGCACGCCUGAGCCCCUUAAUCCACACACACCUGUGAACCAAUUGUAAGGGCCCCCUGAAAAGGGCCUUUACGUCUUAUUCAUCAACCCAUUGCAUGUCUCAGAAUGUAAACAUAUGUCCUCGCCUUAAAAAGCGUUGAUAAACUUAUACAACUUUCAACAACGGAUCUCUUGGCUCUCGCAUCGAUGAAGAACGCAGCGAAAUGCGAUAAGUAAUGUGAAUUGCAGAUUUUCAGUGAAUCAUCGAAUCUUUGAACGCACCUUGCGCUCCUUGGUAUUCCGAGGAGCAUGCCUGUUUGAGUGUCAUUAAAUUCUCAACUCCGAUCGAUUUGUUUCGACCUCGGAGCUUGGACUUUGGAGUGUGCUGGCGUCGGUCGGCUCCUCUCAAAUGCAUCAGCGGAAUCUAACGUUUCGGACGUCAGUGUGAUAAUCACGUUGCGCUGUCAACCGAUCCUGAAAGGCCCGCUCAUAAUGGUCUUCGGACGACUUCAUAUCAAAUUUGACCUCAAAUCAGGUAGGACUACCCGCUGAACUUAAGCAUAUCAAUAAGCGGAGGA